GACGAACGCUGGCGGCGUGCCUAAUACAUGCAAGUCGAGCGGACCGAACGAGGGCUUGCUCUUGUUUGGUCAGCGGCGGACGGGUGAGUAACACGUGGGCAACCUGCCCGCAAGACCGGGAUAACUCCGGGAAACCGGAGCUAAUACCGGAUAACACCGAAGACCGCAUGGUCUUCGGUUGAAAGGCGGCCUUUGGGCUGUCACUUGCGGAUGGGCCCGCGGCGCAUUAGCUAGUUGGUGAGGUAACGGCUCACCAAGGCGACGAUGCGUAGCCGGCCAGAGAGGGUGACCGGCAACACUGGGACUGAGACACGGCCCAGACUCCUACGGGAGGCAGCAGUAGGGAAUCUUCCGCAAUGGGCGAAAGCCUGACGGAGCGACGCCGCGUGGGCGAAGAAGGCCUUCGGGUCGUAAAGCUCUGUUGUGAGGGACGAAGGAGCGCCGUUCGAAGAGGGCGGCGCGGUGACGGUACCUCACGAGAAAGCCCCGGCUAACUACGUGCCAGCCGCCGCCGUAA
rnacentral:rRNA from 1 species